rnacentral:rRNA from 1 species
GAUGAACGCUGGCGGCGUGCCUAAUACAUGCAAGUCGAGCGAACAGAUGAGGAGCUUGCUCCUCUGACGUUAGCGGCGGACGGGUGAGUAACACGUGGAUAACCUACCUAUAAGACUGGGAUAACUUCGGGAAGCCGGAGCUAAUACCGGAUAAUAUAUUGAACCGCAUGGUUCAAUAGUGAAAGACGGUUUUGCUGUCACUUAUAGAUGGAUCCGCGCCGCAUUAGCUAGUUGGUAAGGUAACGGCUUACCAAGGCAACGAUGCGUAGCCGACCUGGGAGGGUGAUCGGCCACACUGGAACUGAGACACGGUCCAGACUCCUACGGGAGGCAGCAGUAGGGAAUCUUCCGCAAUGGGCGAAAGCCUGACGGAGCAACGCCGCGUGAGUGAUGAAGGUCUUCGGAUCGUAAAACUCUGUUAUUAGGGAAGAACAAAUGUGUAAGUAACUAUGCACGUCUUGACGGUACCUAAUCAGAAAGCCACGGCUAACUACGUG